GAUGAACGCUGGCGGCGUGCCUAAUACAUGCAAGUCGAGCGAACGGACGAGAAGCUUGCUUCUCUGAUGUUAGCGGCGGACGGGUGAGUAACACGUGGAUAACCUACCUAUAAGACUGGGAUAACUUCGGGAAACCGGAGCUAAUACCGGAUGAUAUUUUGAACCGCAUGGUUCAAAAGUGAAAGACGGUCUUGCUGUCACUUAUAGAUGGAUCCGCGCUGCAUUAGCUAGUUGGUAAGGUAACGGCUUACCAAGGCAACGAUGCAUAGCCGACCUGAGAGGGUGAUCGGCCACACUGGAACUGAGACACGGUCCAGACUCCUACGGGAGGCAGCAGUAGGGAAUCUUCCGCAAUGGGCGAAAGCCUGACGGAGCAACGCCGCGUGAGUGAUGAAGGUCUUCGGAUCGUAAAACUCUGUUAUUAGGGAAGAACAUAUGUGUAAGUAACUGUGCACAUCUUGACAGUACCUAAUCAGAAAGCCACGGCUAACUACGUG
rnacentral:rRNA from 1 species